ACGUAGGGUGCAAGCGUUAUCCGGAAUUAUUGGGCGUAAAGAGCUCGUAGGCGGUUUGUCGCGUCUGUCGUGAAAGUCCGGGGCUCAACUCCGGAUCUGCGGUGGGAACGGGCAGACUUGAGUGAAGUAGAGGAGAGUGGAAUUCCUGGUGUAGCGGUGGAAUGCGUAGAUAUCAGGAGGAACACCGAUGGCGAAGGCAGCUCGCUGGGCUUUAACUGACGCUGAGGAGCGAAAGCAUGGGGAGCAAACAG
rnacentral:rRNA from 1 species